rnacentral:rRNA from 1 species
CCGGCACGGGUGAGUAACACGUAUCCAACCUGCCGUCUACUCUUGGACAGCCUUCUGAAAGGAAGAUUAAUACAAGAUGGCAUCAUGAGUUCACAUGUUCACAUGAUUAAAGGUAUUCCGGUAGACGAUGGGGAUGCGUUCCAUUAGAUAGUAGGCGGGGUAACGGCCCACCUAGUCGACGAUGGAUAGGGGUUCUGAGAGGAAGGUCCCCCACAUUGGAACUGAGACACGGUCUAA